GAUGAACGCUGGCGGCGUGCUUAACACAUGCAAGUCGAACGGUGAACGAGGGAGCUUGCUCCCUCCGGAUCAGUGGCGAACGGGUGAGUAACACGUGAGCAAUCUGCCCUGGACUCUGGGAAAAGCGUUGGAAACGACGUCUAAUACCGGAUACGAGACGCGAAGGCAUCUCCAGCGUCUCGAAAGAACUUCGGUCCAGGAUGAGCUCGCGGCCUAUCAGGUAGUUGGUGGGGUAACGGCUCACCAAGCCUACGACGGGUAGCCGGCCUGAGAGGGUGACCGGCCACACUGGGACUGAGACACGGCCCAGACUCCUACGGGAGGCAGCAGUGGGGAAUAUCGCACAAUGGGCGCAAGCCUGAUGCAGCAACGCCGCGUGAGGGACGACGGCCUUCGGGUUGUAAACCUCUUUUAGCAGGGAAGAAGCGAAAGUGACGGUACCUGCAGAAAAAGCACCGGCUAACUACGUGCCAGCCGCCGCCGUAAGAC
rnacentral:rRNA from 1 species